AGGGCACUCAGUGAAAGCACUGAUGCAGGCCUAUCUGACACAUUCCAACUGACAACAUUGUAUGCUAACCACGGAUUGUCCCAAGAUACUAGAUGUUAAAAUGUCGGAUUCCACACCCCAGAUUCCACAAAUCUCAAUGUAUCCAGAAGAGACUGAUCUGGAGUGCUAGCAAUUACUUUCCCGUGGAUAUCCACCCAUCGAUCUUUAUUUCGGAAUCAUGAACCAGGCAACUUCUCUGCAUAUGAACUCUCUUCGAAGUAGAGUCUCCCCAUUACCCUCUCCGUUUUUUUAUAUCUAAGCAAUGAGCAUCGGGGUUUACGCUAGCCCCGAGCCGGUUGGGCGGUAUGGAUAUCUGCUCUCUGGAUCUAAACGUAAUCGUAGGAAGUGGGGGAGACGACGAGAAAGCGAAUAAAUCAUGAAUGAACAGGCAUUCGGUAUUUUUUCUUCUAUGAGGAAAUGAAAAUAAUAAAAAUAAAAAUAAAUUGAACAAAAAGUCUUGAACAACGACAAGGUAAGAAAGAAAGAAAAGAAAAAAAUAUUCUCGAAAAAAUAAGAAAAGAAAUCACCAUUCUCACACAGCAUAUUGUAUAGUAUACAGGCAUACAGUAACCACCAUCACCUCAAAAACCAAAACAAACAAAGGGGUUCUACAAACAUUACAUCUAACUAAAACUUCUUCCUCCCCUUCAUACCCAAUGCCUUUAUAUUCGCCCUCGACGCGGUGCCUUGCUUAUGAACCACCCCCCUUUUAUCCCACACCGAGCUCUUCCCCUCCGCCACCGCAAUAAUCUCCUGCGCCACCCGAUUCGCCAACGCAGCAUCCUUCCGUUUCUCAGACGCAUCAAUAAUCCACUUAAUAGCUGUGCGCCGGCGUUGGCGGAGCGCCAGCGGGAGAGGGAUGGGGAGCGAGCGGCCACCUCCUGCCGCGCCAGGCUGUUGCUUGAUGCGGAGCAGUGGCGCCACGGAGUCAACGACCAGGGU
rnacentral:sRNA from 1 species